rnacentral:rRNA from 1 species
AUUGAACGCUGGCGGCAGGCCUAACACAUGCAAGUCGAGCGGAUCAGCGGACGGGUUAGUAUUACCUAGGACUCGGACUGGUAGUGAGGGAUAACGUUCGGAAACGGGCGCUAAUACCGCAUACUAUCAGAUGAGCCUGGGUCGGAUUAGCUAGUGGUUGGGGUAAAGGCCUACCAAGGCGACGAUCCGUAACUGGUCUGAGAGGAUGAUCAGUCACACUGGAACUGAGACACGGUCCAGACUCCUACGGGAGGCAGCAGUGGGGAAUAUGGGACAAUGGGCGAAAGCCUGAUACAGCCAUGCCGCGUGUGGGAAGAAGGUCUUCGGGUUGUAAAACUCUUUUGUGAGGGAGGCGUUAUCUACCGAGAGAGCCCCGGCUAACUCCGUGCCAGCAGCCGCGGUAAUAC